UGGGGAAUUUUCCGCAAUGGGCGCAAGCCUGACGGAGCAAUACCGCGUGAGGGAGGAAGGCUCUUGGGUCGUAAACCUCUUUUCUCAGGGAAGAACACAAUGACGGUACCUGAGGAAUAAGCAUCGGCUAACUCCGUGCCAGCAGCCGCGGUAAUACGGAGGAUGCAAGCGUUAUCCGGAAUGAUUGGGCGUAAAGCGUCCGUAGGUGGUUUUGUAAGUCUGUGGUUAAAGCGCGAAGCUCAACUUCGUAAGGGCCAUGGAAACUACAUAACUUGAGUGAAGUAGGGGUAGAGGGAAUUCCCAGUGUAGCGGUGAAAUGCGUAAAGAUUGGGAAGAACACCGGUGGCGAAAGCGCUCUACUGGACUUAUACUGACACUGAGGGACGAAAGCUAGGGGAGCGAAAGGGAUUAGAUACCCCUGUAGUC
rnacentral:rRNA from 1 species